GCGUGAGCCAACAGUGGCAACUUGUUCGGGUAUCCUUCCCCAGUGUGGAAGCUUUAGUUCUUUUGCUCUUUGCAAUGAAUCUUGCUGCUGCUCACUCUUUGGGUCCACGCUGCGUUUACACUGUGUUUAUGAGCUGUAACACUCACCACAAAGGUCUGCAGCUUCACUCCUGAAGCCAGCAAAGACCACGAACCCACCAGGAAGAAGGAACAACUCCAGACACGCAGCCUUAAGAGCUGUAACACUCACUGCCAAGGUCUUCAGCUUCACUCCUGAGCCAGCCAGACCAUGAACCCACCAGAAGGAAAAAACUCGGAACACAUCCCAACAUCAGAAGGAACAAACUCUGGACAUGCCGCCUUUAAGAACUGUAACAACGCAAGGGUCCGCGGCUUUAUUCUUGAAGUCAGUAAGACCAAGAACCCAAUUCCGGACACGUUUGGACCGCCCACAAGGGCAAGACUUCAUGAGGUUCUGGUGACCAAGCAUGCUCAUCGCUGUCCUGGGACUGCUCCAAGUGCAAUUCAAAGAUGUUUGUUACAAAUGAAGAUCCUCUCCUCAGAGAUCCUCAUUCCCUGCAUUUGAGAUGGGCCCUGGGAACCUUCAUUAUUAACUCCUGAAUUUCACUUGGACCAACACGGUGAUGGUGACAAGCCCAGACUGGUGCAUAUGAGAAGAGAAGACACAAGAAAACACACAUGGAAGAGAGUGAUGAAGGCGAAGACCGGAGUGAUGUAGCUCCAAGCCACAGAAUGUCAGAGAUCGCCAGGAGCCACCUCCGGGAUAAGAUGGAAAGGCAGCUCAACAUCUGAGAAGCCAGUCUUACUCCCUGCAGGCAACAGCUGCUUCCAGAAAACAGCCCUGUAAUUGUCACCAUCAAAUCCAUAUAUUUUCAAGGGAAGUUGGUCCCACACCAGAAGUCAUAGCUGAAUCACCAGCAGUAAUGCAGGGACAUACUGGUUGCUUCUUGGCUUUUCCAACCCUCUGCCAUGCUUGAACAUCUUUGUGAAAGUCCAGGAACAACAAAUAAGCUUAAGGAUAAAAGCCCCCCAGCCAUACCACCACAACCCCCUGUUAAACUCAUGCAUGACUUGUAGAAUCCUUUCCCCACUGUCACUAAAAGGCUUUUUACAUUUUCCCUCCUUAAAACACCAGUUUACUGAAUGGAACGCUAUUUCCUAAAUAUUUGCUACACACACAGCUGUAUAUAGAGUUCCCAGGAGAUGACUUUUUUCUUGUCAUCUUUUAAAACUACAGUUAUAUGUUGAUUUAAUUAUCUUCUCUCUAGAUUACUUCACCAAAGUACAGUUCCUACAGGAAGAUAAUGAUCUGACCUAACCUACUAUUGGCUGAAGGAAGGAGAAAAGCAGCUGAAGAUGUCUGUUGAGUGAUUACCCUCAUAAUCCGUGACUAAGAACAUCCAAAUCAGCAUGGCUUCUUCCUGUCUGAAAUUAUUACUACUUAGGGUUUUUCACGUGUUAUUUCAUUUAUUGAUUAUUCUGUUUUAAACUUGCAAGACGUAUUGUCUCUUCAGAAAUAAAACUUUA
rnacentral:lncRNA from 1 species